rnacentral:tmRNA from 1 species
GGGUUAGUAAAGGUUUCGACAGGGAUUUUGAAGCUGGAGAAGCUAUCCGCAGGACGGUGCGUCAAACCUCAAAUUAAAAUUAAACGCUGAAGAUAAUUUAGCAAUCGCUGCCUAAGUGCAGCCCGUCAGCCUGAAUGCACCUACACAUUCAGUAACUGGCGUCAAAAAAUGUAGGAAACGACAUAGCUUAAGCUUUGCGGUUAUGGUCGUAUCAUGAAGCUACUGAUUAGUUUUGGUUGUCAAUUUCCGGAGCCAUGAGGGAACAGAGGUUAAGACCUCACAAUAAUUGACUACGAUAGUAGAAGGACAGGGGAUGAAUUUUUGGACGCGGGUUCGACUCCCGCCUAAUCCAUCU